UACAGAGGUCUCAAGCGUUGUUCGGAUUCAUUGGGCGUAAAGGGUGCGUAGGCGGGUUCUUAAGUCAGAGGUGAAAUCCUGGAGCUCAACUCCAGAACUGCCUUUGAUACUGAGAGUCUUGAGUUCGGGAGAGGUGAGUGGAACUGCGAGUGUAGAGGUGAAAUUCGUAGAUAUUCGCAAGAACACCAGUGGCGAAGGCGGCUCACUGGCCCGAUACUGACGCUGAUGCACGAAAGCGUGGGGAGCAAACAGG
rnacentral:rRNA from 1 species